rnacentral:rRNA from 1 species
UACGAAGGGGGCUAGCGUUGUUCGGAAUUACUGGGCGUAAAGCGCGCGCAGGCGGUCUUCCAAGUCAGUGGUGAAAGCCCGGAGCUCAACUCCGGAACUGCCAUUGAAACUGUAAGACUUGAGGAUGAGAGAGGUGAGUGGAACUCCGAGUGUAGAGGUGAAAUUCGUAGAUAUUCGGAAGAACACCAGUGGCGAAGGCGGCUCACUGGUCCGGUACUGACGCUGAGAACACGAAAGCGUGGUAGCAAACAGG